ACGGAGACCUCGAGCGUUACUCGGAUUUACUGGGCGUAAAGGGUGAGCAGGCGGCCAAGUGUGUCAGGUGUGAAAUCCCGGGGCUUAACCCCGGAACUGCGCCUGAAACUACUUGGCUAGAGUCUCGGAGAGGACAGUGGAAUUCUAGGUGUAGCGGUGAAAUGCGUAGAUAUCUAGAGGAACACCAGUGGCGAAGGCGACUGUCUGGACGAGUACUGACGCUCAAUCACGAAAGCGUGGGUAGCGAAAGGG
rnacentral:rRNA from 1 species